rnacentral:snRNA from 1 species
UUCGGAAAGCCCAAAGAGAGCUC